UACGUAGGGUCCGAGCGUUGUCCGGAAUUACUGGGCGUAAAGCGCGCGCAGGCGGCCCGCGAGGUGUCACGUGAAAGCCCCGGGCUCAACCCGGGAGGGUCGUGGCAAAUCGGCGGGCUUGAGGCCGGUAGAGGUGGGUGGAACUCCUGGUGGAGUGGUGAAAUGCGUAGAGAUCAGGAAGAACACCCGUGGCGAAGGCGGCCCACUGGGCCGGUACUGACGCUGAGGCGCGAAGGCGUGGGGAGCGAACAGG
rnacentral:rRNA from 1 species